AUUGAACGCUGGCGGCAGGCCUAACACAUGCAAGUCGAACGAGUGGCGGACGGGUGAGUAAUGUCUGGGAAACUGCCCGCUGGAGGGGGAUAACUACUGGAAACGGUAGCUCAUACCGCAUACCAUCGGAUGUGCCCAGAUGGGAUUAGCUAGUCGGUGGGGUAACGGCGCACCUAGGCGACGAUCCCUAGCUGGUCUGAGAGGAUGACCAGCCAGACUCGAACGAAGACACGGAACAGACUCCACCGACAGGCAGAGGGGGGGAAUAUUGCACAAUGGGGGCAAGCCAGAUGAUGCCAUGCCGCGUGUAUGAAGAAGGCGUGGGGGUUGUAAAGAACUUUGAGCGGGGGGGGGUUACUCGCAGCAGAAGCACCGGCGAACUCCGUGCCAGCAGCCGCGGUAAUUC
rnacentral:rRNA from 1 species